rnacentral:misc_RNA from 1 species
CUUUAGCAUUAUAAAAACGUAAAGUGCGUUAGGGAUAGUAGCGGAAAGCCCACAGCGUGGGUAGGGUUUGCGCGCAGGUAAGGCGAGGACUUGUAGCGGAUAGCCCGGGCCGCA